UAAGAAGUUUGCAGCCUACCAAAAGUCAUCAAAACUUUGCCAUAAAAUUUUCUUAACUUGACAACUCAAAAUAUUUAAAUAAACUAGAAUUACACAGUACAUUAUUUUUCAUAUAUUGCUGGCCAACUUACCUAGUAUGUUUUCUGUAUAUACAAAGAUUGUCUUUCCAUCCAUUAAUAAGUAUUUAAUUGCUGCCAAUUUUACACUGCAAGUAACUCUCCACGAUGUCCAGCCCACACAGCUCCUUCACAAUAGGCAUGGUG
rnacentral:misc_RNA from 1 species